AUUGAACGCUGGCGGCAGGCCUAACACAUGCAAGUCGAAUGGUAACAGGAAACAGCUUGCUGUUUCGCUGACGAGUGGCGGACGGGUGAGUAAUGUCUGGGAAACUGCCUGAUGGAGGGGGAUAACUACUGGAAACGGUAGCUAAUACCGCAUAACGUCGCAAGACCAAAGAGGGGGACCUUCGGGCCCCUUGCCAUAAGAUGUGCCCAGAUGGGAUUAGCUAGUAGGUGGGGUAACGGCUCACCUAGGCGACGAUCCCUAGCUGGUCUGAGAGGAUGACCAGCCACACUGGAACUGAGACACGGUCCAGACUCCUACGGGAGGCAGCAGUGGGGAAUAUUGCACAAUGGGCGCAAGCCUGAUGCAGCCAUGCCGCGUGUAUGAAGAAGGCCUUCGGGUUGUAAAGUACUUUCAGCGGGGAGGAAGGGAGUAAAGUUAAUACCUUUGCUCAUUGACGUUACCCGCAGAAGAAGCACCGGCUAACUCCGUG
rnacentral:rRNA from 1 species